CAGGACAGCCUCCAUGCGUGUUGCCAGACACCCUCCAUUACAGUUGGGACUUCGCACAGCAGGUCUUUUUCCCCCAUCAUGCCCAACAGACUGGCCCUAUCUUCUUCAAAACCCCACAGAGUGCUGACUUUGGAGUGUGCGCAGAAGGCUCAGGACAGCAAGUGUUUUAUUUACUGGAUGAGCCAGAGAUGCCAGGGAAGGGGGCAGACACAGUUGUUAGCCUUGUGCAUCACUAUUUCCAUUACCAUGGCCUUGGAGAAGAGAAUGCAGAAAUUCAUUUUGAUAACUGUGCCGGGCAAAACAAAAAUCAUACCGUUCUUUGGUAUGCUCUUUGGAGAACAAUGACAGGACUACAUAAGCGGAUAGAGCUUUCUACUAUGAUCACAGAUGGAGGAUUAGUCAAAUGGAUAGACAAUUGGAGAAGUAGGUGCUACUGUAACCAGCUCAUCACCGAGUGGUCAUAACAUUCCUCAACUUGUUGGUGAUCCCGAAAAACCUGUCGAAUUCUUCUAUUGGAAACUGUAUCUUCAACAGUUUUUCAAACAAAUGAAGAACAUCUCAAAGUACCAUCAUUUUGUACUUGAAGUUGUUGUUCCUGGACACUCAUCAAAAGUCUGCAUCAAGGGCAUGGAUGUUGAACGACAAUGGUAUUUGCAUGACACAAUCUGGGAAUUCUGCCGAAUUGACAUAAGGACAUAGUUUGCCCCAAACCUUCUUAACCAAGGCAUUGAACAGACAGUACACCCGUUAUUUAACCUUUGGAAGCUUAUUGUUUGGAAAAGUGUUUGCUAUUGUCGAGAAUUAACGUUAUGGUUCUCAUUGUUUGCAAACAGCAAGACUUUGAAACUGUUAUGUAAACUGUUAUGUAAUCGUAACCAACUUUUAACCUAAUCUCCUAGAUAGCUUUCAUUCAACAAAUUUUGAUUGGAUAUCUGCUUGAAUCAUUAAUUCUGUUAAAACUAAUGCCUGUACCAAUCUAUAAGUAGUGUGCAGUGUCGAUGCAAAACAUUUACAAAUUUGAAAUUAAAACAUAUUAUGUCUUGCCAAAGAAACAUUUUCCUUUGUUAUUUACUGUUAUUAUGUUAAGUUAAAAAACUACAUAACAUUAUUAUAAAUAGAGUACAUUCAGUAUGUGGCAAUCUAUGAAUGUUUGAAACAGAAGGUUUCCCUUUCAAGUACAGUUCCUUGAUUUUGCAUACAUGCAAGAGCAUAGACAAUUAUAACAUUACCUGUAUGUUAUGUAUGUUGAAGUAUGUAUUUUUUUUGCCAUGGCAACAUUUUUAUUUCUAAUUUGCAAUGAUUAAUGCUAUUUUAUUAAGUUUUGAAAUUAUAUUUUGUAAAAUAAGAAAAGAAUCAAUGUUCCUAAAUACCUGACAAAACUGUUUAAUUUCUGUUACUAUUUCUGAGUAUUUUGAUAAUUUAUUUUGCACAUUACUGAUCUACUCUUGACCCAUAACAAUGAAAAUUCUAAUUAUAAUUACUUUAAUUUUUAAAAACUGGCAAUUUUAUAUCUAUAAAAUGUUUAGUAAAACACUGAAAAGUUUUCUUUUAAUUAGUAUUUCAGAUGGGGAGAAAUCAUUAUGCACAUACUGUCCGCUUUUCUCGGGGCCACUAUUAUGUAAUACUGUCCGCAUUUCUUCGGCCACUGUCCGUUUAAAACUGGAUAUAUAAACCGAGCCUUUCUCAGGAAAGGGGGAGUUGAGAUUGAGAUGAGGAGAGAGACUAAGUAGAAAUUAGAGGAUGCAUUUUGGACUUAAUUAGAUAAGUGUAUUUUUAAGAUAACUGUAAAUAUAAAAUCAAGACUUUGUUUAUGUGAUUGUAAAAGUAAAAUGUUAGACACUUAAUGGUUUUAAUUGUUUUUCCAAUGAUAUAUUGGAUGGUGGCAGCGGAAAGAAAAGGAAACAAUUCCUAAAUGAGUAAAAGUCCACAACACUGACUGUGGUGGAAAUACCGAAUAAUUAAAAGCACCGAUUAAAGUAAAAAUCGGCGACAAAACAUAUUGUUAAGCUCACGACCUAUAACAAUCUCUUUCAAAUAAUCUCUUCGGUAUCUUUGAUCCUUAAUGUGUUACAUAUUAUAUUGCUUUAUAUUUUGGUUGCCAUGGUAACAUUUUAUUUUAUGUACUUACACAUUAUCAUUAUUUUGCUAGAUUAUUUAAAUAGUCUGUGUAUGAAAUAUAACUAAAAAUUAUAUA